rnacentral:rRNA from 1 species
AUUGAACGCUGGCGGCAGGCCUAACACAUGCAAGUCGAGCGGAGCGGCGGACGGGUGAGUAAUGCCUAGGAAUCUGCCUGGUAGCGGGGGAUAACGUCCGGAAACGGGCGCUAAUACCGCAUACUAUCAGAUGAGCCUAGGUCGGAUUAGCUAGUUGGUGGGGUAAAGGCCUACCAAGACGACGAUCCGUAACUGGUCUGAGAGGAUGAUCAGUAACACUGGAACUGUGACACGGUCCAGACUCCUACGGGAGGCAGCAGUGGAGAAUAUUGGACAAUGGGCGAAAGCCUAGUCCAGCCAUACCGCGUGUGUGAAGAAGGUCUUCGGAUUGUAAAGCACUUUAAGUUGGAAGGCGUUACCAACAGAAUAAGCACCGGCUAACUUCGUGCCAACAGCCGCGGUAAUUC